GGACAGAGGCUCCCCUUUCUUCUGGGCUUGGUUCCGGAGGAGGCCAAAAGAGAGUUUACCAGGGAAGCAAUUUGAAGGCAAAAGUCCACUCUAAAGUGAAGAAAUGAGAAAGAAGACUGAACUGAAGGAAAACUGGAAGGUGUCAUGGAGUGCGGAACAAAGGCACAUGAAGAACUGAUGGCUUCCCAGGACUUCUGUCACGAUGGGGUGGCCUGGAACAAGAGAAAUAUAUUGCCACUCUGUUCUGGAGCCUGGAAGUCCUGAGUUGAAAUGUCAGCAGAGCCAUACUCCACAGAAGAUUCUAGUAACAAAUUCUUCUAGCCCCUGGCCUCCUCUACGCUGGUCUGUAGCCUCUGGGGUCCCAGAUGAACCCUGUGAAUGGGCUGUCCAAGACCAAAAGAGGUCAUGCCCUACAGGUUGAGAACCAGGAGGGGUCACCAGCAGUGUAUCCUUAUAGAAAAUAUUGGGACUCUAUUUCUUCCUUCACUGAGCUGCCUCAGACUCAAAGCAACAGGACCAAGUAAUGGGCUCCAGCAACCAUGGACUGGCAUCUCUGAAGCCAUAAGAACAAACAAGCAUCCUUCUUUCUAAAUUUGUUAUCUUGGCUACCUUGUUAUAAUAUAAAGCUGCAUGGCUUAAGGGCACGUAAUUCAGCCUGUGACAGGAGCCGUUCAUUAACACCCAGAUUCGGCACCCAUCUAUUAAAUAUCUAAUACAUACCUUG
rnacentral:lncRNA from 1 species